CUGAAUCAACACUAAACCUUGUGGUUAGGUUGGGACAAUCUUGUACGUUUAAAUCAUCCAAAGAUGGGAAAACAAAAUGAUAACCUACAGGGCUGAAGCUCAUGAGGUUUGGUAGCCUAUCAAGGUCUAAGUCGGUUAAUUGUGGUAGGUGUAUCACUUUCUCUUCAUCCUUACUCACAUUUGCUUCAUCUCCUUCGAACACCUGCUCUAAUUUGGGGACGUUUCCAAGGCUUAUUGUCUUCAAUUUUGGAAGGCCACCAUGGGCAGAAGUAAUCGGAAAGAGAUAUUUCAAGUUUUUACAAUAAAAGAUUAUAACUUCAGCCAGACGAGGGAAGCAAAUAGGUUGGAGAUGAUGUUGUGAUGACUUUUGAUCCUUGUCAAUAAUUUGUUCCAAUUCCUCACAAUCAGAUAUAUAUAACUCGCUCAAUCGUGGCAAAUAUUGAGCAAUGGUUGGUGAGAAUAUGUAUCUUAAGCUUCUACAAUUUCUAACAUUCAAUUGAGUGAGAUUUUGAAAGUUUACAGCUUGGAUGGGACCAUUCCAUAUCACUCGCAAUUCGGUUAGUUCAAACAAAUUUAGGAACUUCAGGCUUGAAAGGUUAUAACUAGAAUCAAAUAACUCUCUAAAGUUGGAAAUUUUUAAAUAUUCCAUACUUACUGAUGAUCCUCCUCUCCCCAUCAUGUUGCUCAUUUUCUUCAUUUCUUUCAUCCUUUUAAGGGUCAAUUCCUAUAAACAUACCAUCAGUCAUCAAUUUCAAAAUGUUCAAAGCAAUGAACAACUUAUCACUCAUUUUGUUAAUUAAUUUUCUUACAUAACAUUUAUUAAUUUAAAAAAAAAUAUCAAAUUAUUCAAGUUUAAACACUUUUGUACGAAUUCUUUUAUCUAAUUUUUUUCCCUUCAAGAAUAAGCCCAAAAUUUUUUUUUCCUAUCUUUUAUAGCCAAUUAUAUCAAAUUAAAAAAACUAGAUGAAUCGUUAGACCAAAACUAUAAAAUAAUAUACAAGCAUUUGUAUAGUUCAGACAGUAAAUUAUCAAGAGGGGAAAAUCAAUAAAAGAUUAAUAAACAAUAUAUAAAACUUACUUGUAUUUUAGUUGAAAUGAUAAAAGGUGUCAAUUCGGGACAAUUCACCACUUUUAACUUCUGCAAUGAUGAAAGGGUAAGCACAAUCUCGUUUCCAUCCCUUCCUUUGAAUUGAGGUAAAUUUUCCAGCACAACCUCAUUCAGUAGAGGAAGGCCUUGAGCCAUUGAGAUUGGAAAAGUGUCUUCCAAUUGAAGGCAAUCGUAAAUUUCUAGAUUUGUCAAACUUUUCAAUAUGUGACCAUGGGAUAAUGAGGAAAGAGAUGUCAACUUGUUGCAUUCACGUACAAAUACUUCCCUUAGACUAUGGAGACAUACGUUGGAUGCCUCUGUUGCUUUGAUUAUCUCUUCCAAUCCAAAGCACCCACUUAUUCGUAGAGUUCGCAAUCCCCCAAGGCUAUUAGCAAUAGACAUUGGGAAGAGAUACCUCAAAUUAUUGCAGUUUUCAACUUUUAUUUCCUUUAAACAUUGAAGGCUUAUGUUUGACACUUGUGGCUCUUGGAUUAUUUCUUCUAACUGGGAGCAGUUGCUUAUCUCCAGAGUUUGCAAAUUGGACGCACUUAGAAGUUUUGGAAAGCCUCCAUGAGCAACAGUAAUCGGGAAGAGACAUUUUAAGUUUUCACAAUUGAAGAUACUAAUCAGAGUCAAAUUAGGAAAGCAAAUAGGUUGGAGUCGAUGAUCAUGUGAUGAAGUUUGAUCCUUCCCAGUAAUCUGCUCCACUUCUUCACAAUUACAGAUAUCUAAAUUGCUCAAUUGCUCACUUGUUAUUCUCCGUAGCUCCAAUUUCUAUAAACAAAUCAUUUCAAAAUGUUUCAAGAAAGUGAACAACUUAUCAUUUUACUAAUUAAUUUCUCUUACAAAUCAUAAAAAGUCUCUUAAUGAAAUUUUAUCUGAGUUAUUAAAUGGUAUUAUAGUCAGCUAGCUGUAAUUUGGAUUAGUUUGUAGACCAAAAUUAUAAAAUGAAAACUAUAUAUCCUUUAAACAGCUAUGCAAGCAUUUGCUCUAUUGGGAUAACGAAUUAUUAACAGGGAAAAAUAAGAAAGAAAAGAAAGCAAUUCAAUUAAUAAUUAAUAAUUUAUAAAUCUUACUUGUAUUUUAGCCGAAAUGAUAAGAGGUGUCAACCGGGGACAAUCCUCCACUAAUAACUCCUGCAACCUGUGACCAUGGGACAAUGAGGAAAGAGAUGUCAACUUAUUGCAUUCACUUACUCUUAUUUUCCUUAGACUUUGGGGGCUUAUGUUUAACACUUCUGUCCCUUGUAUUAUUUCUUCCAAUUGUGAGCAUCUGUGUAUAUCCAGAGAUUGCAAUUGCCCAACGCUAUUAUUAGCAGCUGACAUUGGGAAGAGAUAUUUCAAAUUGUUGCACUCACUUAUUUGUACAACCUUUAGACUUUGGAGGCUUAAAUGAUGAUUGGGCCACUGUUCUAUGCUCCUCAAUUCAACAGUCUGGAAUAGCACUUGCAUUUUACCACAUUGAUGAACUUGAAGCUCUUCAAGAUUUUGUGAAAUUGGAAUUGCACCAAUCAUUUCAUUGCAAUCCCGUAAGGACAAGGUUUCUAACUUUUGUAAGAAACCUUGUGGUUGAGGGCCAUUGCACAGCUCUUCUAAAGCAAGCAUAGAUGCUAAUGAUAAGCUUCUCAAAUUAGAGAAUGUAGUGGUUGGCACCUGUUGCUUUGAUGCAUCAAUUAGGGAUUUCAUACCAUCGCAACUAUAAAGAACUAGAGAAGUCAACUUACUGAAUUCCAACUCCAAGCUUGGAAUAAGGUUUGGAUAGCCCUGCACUCUUUCCAGGUCAAGAGAUUCUACAUCUUCAAAUAGUUGCUUGCAUGCAUCUAAGGACGCAUUAUUAAAUAUUGUCAAAGAUCUUGAGAUUGGACAAGGUUCAAAUGACGUCCUCCAAGCCAAAAUGAAAACAUCAAAUCUCCAUAAUUUAGGAAACACAAAGCCAUCUGAAAGAUCUUGAGGAUGCAAAUCCAACGAUAAUACACCCAACUUGGGCAAUAAAUUCAACUCUGAUAGGCCAGAAUAGCAUUCUUUUUCAGUUGCGUUCUUAGUCGCCCAUUUUAUUGAUCUAGAACCAUGCAAGUAUAGUUCUUCUAAAUUGGACAAUCUUUGUAUUAAUCGAUGAGGAAUUCUUCGUAGUUCUCUGCAUUUUGACAACUCCAAAAGUCUUAGAUUUUCUAAAUCACCAAUUUCGUUCGGCAAUUCAGAUAUAGCAGAUCCACUUAAUGAAAAAAUCUCAAGUGUCUUCAACUUCCCAAUCACUGAGAUGUCAGAGAAUCUACAGUUACGCAACUUCAAUGUUUUAAGGUUCAUUUGGAAUUGAAAUGCAACUGGAGAUAUCAUUAGAUAAUCCAAAGCACAAGCUUUUAAUGCUUUCAUACCCUCAAAGAAUUCACUUGAAGUUUCCAUGCGACCCUCACGUGUUCCACCAAGUAAAAGAAAUUUGAGAUUUGGCAAAACCAAUCCUUUGGGAAGUUCAUCCAUUUGAUCAGUGUUGAAGGAGAUUGCUAUGAAAUGCUUGAAACUUUCAUCCAUCGGCAAUGUUCCAACACUCGCAAAAGAAAACUCCUCUCUGGAGGAUGCAAUCCAUAAAGCAACUUCACGAACCACAUCAUGCAUUUUGACAUGCCCUUUUCUUCUGCAAUCUAACAACAAACAAGAGUUCUUGAGGAUUUCAGUCGAUGCAAGCACUUCACUUCUAACUUUUUCAAUUGAGUUGAUGCCUUUAUACAACUCCAAUCCCCAUGCAUAUCUCACCAAGUCCUCCACACAAAUCUCAUGAUCUUCGGGAUAUAAAGAGCACAAUAAGAAACAAGUCUUCGUCUCCAUACCCUUCAAGUACUCGAAGCUCGCCUCAAGACAUAGAUAAGCAUUUUCUUCAUUAACAUCUUCAAUUUCAGUUAAUCUACGAUCUUUGAGUCUCCGAUAUGCCGCUUUCCACUCGUGACAACUUUUACCUUUCAAAGCACUUCCUAACGAAACUAUAGCAAUGGGCAAACCUUGGCAUUUUCUGAUGAUUUUAGUUGCCACCUUUCUAAUAGCGUCAUCAGCAGAGCCAUUUAGACUUGCUUUCGUUGCAAACAAAUUCCAAGCUUCAUCGCCAUCUAAACAACCCAGUUGUACCACCUUUUGACAAUCCAUAGCAAGGCAUACUUGUUGACGGCGUGUUGUUAAAAGAACUUUGCAACUUUUAUGAUCUUCGCCAGUCGGUAUUCCUAUCUUCUCCUUUAAGUUGAUAUUUGUCCAAAUAUCAUCAAGGAUAAUAAGAAUCCUCUGUUCCUUCUUCAGUCUCAACCAUAAAUCUUGCACUGAUCUUCUUCCUCGUUCAUUCUUCAUAUCAAAGUCUAUGAAUUGUGCAAUUUGAUCUUGAAUUACUUCGAAGUUUGGCUUUUGAGACACAGUUGUAAUCACAACUUUAUUGAACAAAUUCAGUUUUUCAGCUUGAUUUCCAACUUCACGAGCCAAGGUGGUUUUGCCCACCCCUCCCAUCCCCCACAAUCCAAUCAUGCUGAUAUUGUCAUCUUGUAAGGCUUCAAUGAUUUGAUGGAAAGCAAUCUUUGAAGCUUCCGAAACCACAAAUUCCUUAGAGCAGAGGAAUUCUGUGGUGGGAAGGGUACUAGGAGCACGGUAACCGACUCGUCCAGGUUGACCAAAUUUGUUGAUCUUCUCCAAAAGCUCAGAUAUAUCCAGAGUUUUCUUCAUUGCUUGCUUGCUUAAUUGAUAUCUCCAACUCCAAUUAGGACACCAAUUGAGACACCUCUUAUUCUGUUGAAUUUCCAUCUCCAAAGUUUCCACAUUCGAUAGGAUUUCCACUGCCUUCCUUUGCAGAUCCCCUACAUCAUCUUCAACAUGUAAAAGCUGCCUUUCAGCAACCUCAGUCUCACGCUGCAGACGAGUUCGUGCCCUUACAAGUUCACCUUUUUUUUCCACCAGCUUUUCAACAUUGUCAUGAAAGUGGCGGACAUAAUCAAGUUGACGUCCCACCGGCUUUACCACAUAGUCCGCAACUAGUGUUCCAACGGAGUUAGCAAGAGACUCGCAAAAUUCACAACCCAUUCUUGACAAGCUCGAUUGAAGAAUACGAUUUUCCAAGUUCAAACACUGUAGCAAAUCAUAAGUAAUUAUCAUUAGAAAAGAAUAUUAAAGAACUAAAAAAUGUUGAAGAUGAACACCUACUUCUUAGACAUACCACACAAGGUGAAAGACAAUUCCAAGUAUGAAAAUUAAUCGGCUUUUAUUCGAUUCAGUCCAGCUGCAGAGAAAACACAAAAAGUGAAUACUAUGAUAAACUUAUACCGACAGCAGAAUUGAUAUGAUGCCAAACUAAAAAUAAUUUUAUACCAUAGAAAUUUUGUAAGUAUGGUACAGAAUUGGUGAGAUAAGUAGAAAGAAAGAAGACUUAGUGGAGAAGCUUUUAUUACAUUUUCUUUGUUGCUUAUCAAUUCAUACUAGUUAACAAAAUCAAAUAUACGAGUGUAAUGCCACCUAAUUUUAGCUUUGAUUUCUUCAAGAAAAAAAACAGAAUAAGAGAUUAUUAGAUCAAUAUAUAUAUAUAUAUAUAUAUAUAUGUAUCUAAACACAAUUAAGAAAUGAAGCAUAUAUAAAUAGCUUUACCUCACUUGAGAACUUCAAAAUCAAACUAGACUUGGUGCUGAGAAAAUGCUCCACUAGUUGAAAACAAUCAAAAGGGUUUGAAGAUUAGGUAUUUUUUGGAAUAAAAGAAAGUAAAAACUGAACACAAAGAGUAAACUUGAAGAUUUUUUUUUUUUUUUUGGCUUUAUGGAAAGGGGAAAUAGAAAAGAAGAGAGAUGAAGGUAGCACUAAAAUGAUGAGAAACCUUGACAAAGAAAUUGGAGUUUAUGUGCUUGGACAAUUCCAACACUGGAGAAUAUAAGGUAGGAUUUCUUGGUUUUGGUUUAGCCAAAGGAUUCGUGUUAUGAGAUUACUGUCAAUUGUAAAUUAAAGUUUCAACAAACAAUCAAUGGAUCAAAUUAUUAGUAGUUGCUUUUUAGUGGAUUGACUGGUUGAUUUGUCAAUGGCCCCAUGCAUUGAUUUCUUUUUUAAAAAUAAAAGUUAAAGAAAUAAAUUUGAAAAAUAUCUAAAAAAGAAAAGUGUUGGGACGAAAUUUUGGCCUAGUUUACGCUUGUUUUGUCCGUAAAGCAAACCUAAAUAGCGCCACUAGAAAAUGUUAAGUCUUUGCUCUCACACUUAAAAUUUUUCUUUAACAUUUUCACUGCAUUUAAAAAUAUGUAUUUUCUAUUGACAAAAAUAAUCUAUCUUCUUAAUUUCCAUUUGCUAUGGAAUGAAAAUUAGUUUUCCUUAAUUCAUUUUUAUUCAUUUAAAGUUAUCAUAUUUUUAUUGUUUUGUAAAUGUAUAAUGAUAAACUUAAUCCUUAACGUUUAUAUCUUUUUGUUAAUUUAGCCAUUAAUCUUAUAAAAAGAAUUGCAUUGUUGUUUUUUAACAGAAAUAUUAACUAAAAUAUUAUUUUUUUUACAUGGCAGCCCGCAUGAUAAUUCAUGUGUGCUUUAUGCUAAUUUUUAUAAUUACUUAUCAAUUUUUAUUUUUAUUUUUAAAUUAAUCGUUGGUGUGGCAUAUAAGAAAAAUAGUGUCAUGUCAACAUGAAAUACGCAUACACUGCCACGCAAGGUAUCAUGUCAAUACAUUAAAAAAAUUAAUAUUUUUAUAUAUUAAAAAAAUUGCUUGAUUGACAAUGGAAUAAAAUUUCAUUCAUUAUUAUGAAUACUAAUAAAACUAUCAAAUGUUUUUAUAACCACUCCAUUUUCAAUGGUAUAAGAUUUUUCAUUGUCAAUAAGAUUUUUUAACUUUUUCACAACAUCAUUAAAUAUUAUAUAUUAAAUUUUGGUUUUCAAAAAUUUAAAAACUCUAAAAAUAAAAAAAAAUUAAAAUCAAAAUUACAAUUUAAAUAUAAUUUAUAUUAUCUUAUCCUUUAUUAAAAUGAUGUUACAUUUCUUUGAUAUUGUAAUUCAAAUAUGAAUUACUACUCUUUUUUAAGAUACUGCAUUACUCUCUUAAGAUACUACUUAAAAGCAAUGAUUUAGUUGAAUCCAAAUUGGUUUACUAUUUAAUAAUAUUAAUAACAUAAUUAUUAAAAGUAAAACUUUAAAAGAAAAAUAAACUAACUUAAAAUGAAAAUUAGGUCAAAUUAUUAGUUUGUAAAUCACAAUAAGCCCAAGGCUAAAACCCAAAAAUAAAAUAAAAUAUGAAAACUUAAAUCUACUCUUUAAUUGUUAUAAUUGUUGGAUACUAAUGCAUCUAUAUGCUAAAUUUAGUUUUAGUUGGUAUUUAAUUGUAAUAUUAAUUAAAUAACUUAUAAUUAUUAAUAUAAAAUAAUAAGUGUAAUUUAUCACUAAUAAAAAUAAAUAACUGAUUAAUGGAAUUAUUAUAAUCUACUCUUAGAAUGAUGCUACCCCCAACCCCCAAACCCUUCCAACUCCACCAACUUUGCUAACUCAUUUGCCCGGAUAAACAUCAUCUUGCCAACAACAACCCCCCCCACAAACCAAACUAUCAUAGCCAACACCUAGCCUGAUAAGAUAUUGUCCAUUUUGGGCACACAUGUCCUUCACGAAUUUGUUCUCGGGAGCGACCAUAGACCCCCAAAAGACCUCUUACCACUUAAGUGUUGCUACCUCUUUAUAUAGUCUAGACCUUUCCUGUGCUUUGCUGAUGUGGGAUUUACCUAGGGUGUUACAUUCACCCCCUUAGGGACUCAACGUCUUUGCUGAGGUUUGCCCCACCAUUGCUUAAAAGGCACGACAAGUGGCUCUAAUACUAAUAAAUGUCAUAGCCAACACCCAACUCGGUAAGAUGUUGUCCACUUUGGGUGUACAUGGCCCUCACGGAUUUGUUCUUGGAAGCAUCCACACACACCCAAAAGGCCUCUUAUCACUUAUGUAAUGGCCUAAAUUCAAGGUUAUCGGAACACUGGGUUUCGGGACCACAAAUCCGAUGAGGAAAAAUUUAUUUUUCUUAUAUUUUUAUGGUCUACGAUUUCAAAAAAUGAUUUCGUGAAAAUUUCAUUUGAAAAUUUGUCCGUUUGGGCACUCAAUUUAGUCAAAAGGACUAAAUUGUAAAAAGUGUAAAAGUUGAGUUCUACAUGUUAGCGGUGUCCAAUUGUUAUGAAACUUUAAAUUGGAGGUCCUUAUAUGGUAAUUAGACCAUUGGUUAAGUUGGUAGAUAAAAAUGGACAUGAGAUAAGUGAAAUAGGAAAUUUUUAAGUUAGGGGCAAUUUUGUAAUCUAGUAAUAAAAAGAAUUAAAAAGGGAAAAAGAUGGCCAAAAAUAUCAUCUUCUCCAUGGUGAACGAAAUCAGCAAGGGAGAAGCCCUAUUUAGGGUUUUCAAGGUUCCAAGCUCCAUAGUAAGUGUUUUAGGGUGAUGAAUAGGGUAAUUUGCCCUAGUUAAAAUUUAAAUCUCGAUCCAAAAAUUAAAUAAAAAUAAAAUUGAAAAGAUUUAAACAUAUAAACAAUGAUUAAUAACCAUACUGAUAAUAUUUAGUAGAAAAAAAAUAAAAUAUAUUAUAUGUUGUAAUUAAUUAUAAAACUAACAUAUUUGUUUAUCACGUACUAUUUUAAAUCAUCAUAACAAAUAAAAUCAUACAACAAAAGAUUUUUGUAGAUUAGAAAAUUUGUUUUAUUUACUUAUUGACUCUAGCUAUUGUUUAGUUGUUUAAUAUUAUGAUUUAAUCGUUUGAGGAAAAAUAUUUUAUAUAAGAUAUUCAAACAUUAAAAAAUAUGAACUGUUUUAAAUAAAGUAAUUUUUCCAAAGUUGUUUAAUGAAACAACUACCAGAGGUUCACAAUGGAUGGAUUUUCAGGUAACCUCCUUUUAUAUAAUUGCCUUCAUUCACUUGAAUCUUCGUAUUCAAAAAGUUGUUCAUCAAUGUCUUCUUCAGUGUUCUGCACUCCAACUUAUGUUGCUACCAGCUGGCCAUGUAGUUUCCUGAGCUGUAGCAGAUUCUUCCACUAUAGUUUCAUCAACUGAUUGGCUUGCCUGCAAAACGAAUUAAAGCUUGACAUAUUACUGUUUGUUUAUGAUGAAAAUAUUGCAUGAAUUCAUAGAAAUUAAAGAGUUGGGGUGAAUACACAGAAAAGAAUUCAAUAGAUGAACAUUAGUUUGGGAGAGAAGUGCACCUGUGUUUCGGCAUGCACUGAUUGCUCUGAAUCAACACUAAACCUUGUGGUUAGGUUGGGACAAUCUUGUACGUUUAAAUCAUCCAAAGAUGGGAAAACAAAAUGAUAACCUACAGGGCUGAAGCUCAUGAGGUUUGGUAGCCUACCAAGGUCUAAGUCGGUUAAUUGUGGUAGGUGUAUCACUUUCUCUUCAUCCUUACUCACAUUUGCUUCAUCUCCUUCGAACACCUGCUCUAAUUUGGGGACGUUUACAAGCCUUAUUGUCUUCAAUUUUGGAAGGCCACCAUGGGCAGAAGUAAUCGGAAAGAGAUAUUUCAAGUUUUC
rnacentral:lncRNA from 1 species